rnacentral:rRNA from 1 species
CCUACGGGUGGCUGCAGUGGGGAAUAUUGGACAAUGGGGGGAACCCUGAUCCAGCCAUACCGCGUGUGUGAAGAAGGCCCUCGGGUUGUAAAGCACUUUCAGUGAGGAAGAACGCCUGGUGGUUAAUACCCAUCAGGAAAGACAUCACUCACAGAAGAAGCACCGGCUAACUCCGUGCCAGCAGCCGCGGUAAUACGGAGGGUGCGAGCGUUAAUCGGAAUUACUGGGCGUAAAGCGCGCGUAGGUGGCUUGAUAAGCCGGUUGUGAAAGCCCCGGGCUCAACCUGGGAACGGCAUCCGGAACUGUCAAGCUAGAGUGCAGGAGAGGAAGGUAGAAUUCCCGGUGUAGCGGUGAAAUGCGUAGAGAUCGGGAGGAAUACCAGUGGCGAAGGCGGCCUUCUGGACUGACACUGACACUGAGGUGCGAAAGCGUGGGUAGCAAACAGGAUUAGAUACCCGAGUAGUC